CAGAUGGCCCUCAUGGGAAAUAAAACAUAGACCAGUCCUUGUCAGCAGGAAGAGGUAGACGUCCCUGGCUGGCUUUGCAAAGAUCAUGAAAUCAUUCCCUUCACAUCUGCCUUCUUGUAUGCUGUAAUUUUUUAACUCGUAUCUUAAAAGUGUAACUAUUAAAUGUAAAUGCUCCUGGACCCACCACAAGCCAGGAUCACCAAGAGAGCCAGACUAAGACCACACAACCAUGAGGGACCUGGUGGAGACAAUGGCUCUGAUUUGUCAGACAAAUCAGAAAUCUAUCUUUUCCCUAUUCUGCAACAGCGGAAGUGAAUUUCAAGAAUCAAGUCAAAGAAUAAGUGAUCUAAAAGUGUCCGACUGCACUUCUAGUUACUAUCUGAAAUGCACUGGCCUCAAGUUGACUGUCCUCUGGCUUGCACUUAUGGAUGGCUGGCAUCCUAAGACACUUUCUCCAUAAGGGAAACUCAGGAAGUCACACUGCGGAAGGGACGUGGUGAAUUCUCAACUAUCAUAGAAUGUCUGUCUUUCAAAAAUUUCUGACGGGGUAAUUGCCUUGGACGCAGCUUUCCUCAGAGAUGCUGGGGUUGCAGCCCGGGGCACUGAGUUAAGCUGCAUCGCCAUCUAGUGGUCAGAUGAUACGGAGCCCAGAUGCAGCGUUGUGAAUGAGUGGGUGAGGAGGUUUCCGUAAGGUAGAGUUGACAGGAGUGGAGUCACCUUGUCUACUUCUCUUAUUUAUACAUAAGAAAAAUGAACCCAGAAAAAAGAGAAAGAAAUGACCCAAACUUUAUGUUACAAAGGGGUAAUUGCAGAAAUACCAUGCCAUUUAGUUGCUAUUCCCCUCAACAGUGUGCACUAUGGGUUAUA